AUGCAGGGGAUGAAAGGGAUGCUGGAGAGCAGCACAGGAAGAUGCAGAUGAUGCUCGAAGGCAGCGUGGGGGAUGCAGGGGAUGCCCGGGAUGCUCAGGGCAGGAUAGAGAUGCUGGAACACGUCUGGGGGACAGGACAGGGGAUGCUGGAGUGAUGACAGGGGGUCCUCAGGGACGUGAGGAAGACCAGGAGAUACUGAAGAGUCUGGAGCAGAUCUGACGGGGUUUUCUCGACCUCCAGAAGCUCAGCUGUCCCCCCGAGCGGACCCACGUCCAUCAGCCGCAAACCAAAAGAGCCAAAUCCUUUCUUAAUAUAGCAAAAAAUAUCUUUAUCCCGCCCGAACGUCCUCAGCCGUGUUUGAGGCACUUAACUGCCGACACCGCUGAAACAGUUAAAGUAUUUAGGACACCGUAGAAUGGCCAAAAACUUGGGAAAAACAAGGCGGAUUGGAGAAAGGUCAUCUGAGGCUGGGACUGGGAGAAUUCUCUUCUUUGAAAUCCCCAGCAGAGUUGAGAAGCCGGUACCAACCCUCCUGUUCCCAUGGACUGAGGUCAGCCACAUCCAAAUUUGCUGGGAAUUCUGUAUGUGCAUGCAGACACUUGUUUUCCCAUUUAAAAAAAAAAAUAAAAAGGAGAAAAAUAUAAGUCUGUAAUUGAAGCUGCUGAGACUGCAGUUUCGGAGCAGCCCUGCUGUGAUGUAUCAGUUCCUUCUUCUUCAUUUUCCAGCUUCCCCAGCAUCCUGUUGUGCACAAAUAUAUGUCUGUGCUGCAUCUUUCCCACUCUCCCCCACCACUAAUUCUUGGAUUCUUAGUGAUUAUGCCUGUAUUGCUUAUUUUGCAAGAUGUCUGAUUAUUUGUUUGAAAUAAUAUUGUAUUAUUUUUUAACAGUUCCAAUGGCAAUGUUUGGAAUAUAUGUUUUUUAAGCUCUAGUGUGUUUCUGUACAAAGGCAUUUUUGGCUCCUUAUAUAUUUUGGGCAUUAUUACUGAUUCCAGAGUAAGAUCUCUGCUGUUAAAGCCCUUAGUCAUAUAGUUUUUAUUAUUUGUAUUCCCAAAGAAGUCUAAAUGUGAGAGAGAAUCUCAGCAUCAUGUGAAUACAUGUAAACAAAUGGACUGUCCCACAGAUGUGAGAAAUGGGAAUGACCUCUAACACGAUUUGUUACAUUUGUGUUUUUGUGCUGUAACUGAGCAGGGCAGUUCCCCGUGAUUAACUACCCACGUCAAAGACGCCAAAGUCUUGUUCUGCUUUAUUAGUUCUGUCCAAACAAGAUCACUCCAUUUAGAUCUUAUUAAAGUUUGUUUAUUUUUCUAGCUGUGGAGAGGGAAAAAUCACCAGGCAGGGAGGCUUUUUUUUUUAUUUGAAUAUUUUAAUUCAGGGAGGAGUCCCUCAGCUUCUCUGACGUUGGCCAACCCAUGUCCUGAAGUCAUGUUUCAGCUGAUUGCUCAGACAAUUAAACUCUCACGUGCUAUUAAAGACUCUGGAACCUGCUAUCACUCUUCCAGUUCAGAUCUCCAGUGACCAACUGCAGAUUGGAGCUUCAGCCCUUUUCCACAUUCCCAGAAAAGGGAGAAAAUUUCAAUCCAGGAAAGGUAAUUCAUGUCAGACCCUCAUAUCUUGAGUUUUCCUCAGUUAUCCAGAAUCUGAUGCAAAGAAAAU
ensembl:lncRNA